GCCUGGCUGGCUCAGUCAGUAGAGCAUGGGACUCUUGAUCUCAGGGUUGUGAGUUCAAGCCCUAUGUUGGAUG
rnacentral:tRNA from 1 species